rnacentral:tRNA from 1 species
CGCGGGGUAGAGAAGUUUGGUAGCUCGCAAGGCUCAUAACCUUGAGGUCACGAGUUCAAAUCCUGUCUCCGCAA